rnacentral:rRNA from 1 species
UGUGAGCUCGAUGAGUAGGGCGGGACACGUGGUAUCCUGUCUGAAUAUGGGGGGACCAUCCUCCAAGGCUAAAUACUCCUGACUGACCGAUAGUGAACCAGUACCGUGAGGGAAAGGCGAAAAGAACCCCGGCGAGGGGAGUGAAAAAGAACCUGAAACCGUGUACGUACAAGCAGUGGGAGCCCCACCACUAAGCCAGUGGUGAACUCCACAUACGCAUCCUUUGCUGAGGAUACGGUUAACGGAGCGAAAGCGACGUUCAACCGCAAAAGAAGCAGAGGGGGCUUAGUGGUGGGGUGACUGCGUACCUUUUGUAUAAUGGGUCAGCGACUUAUAUUCUGUAGCAAGGUUAACCGUAUAGGGGAGCCGGAGGGAAACCGAGUCUUAAUUGGGCGUUAAGUUGCAGGGUAUAGACCCGAAACCCGGUGAUCUAGCCAUGGGCAGGUUGAAGGUUGGGUAACACUAACUGGAGGACCGAACCGACUAAUGUUGAAAAAUUAGCGGAUGACCUGUGGCUGGGGGUGAAAGGCCAAUCAAACCGGGAG